GGAUCUCACUACCUGGAUGGGUAAACUGAGGUUUAGAGAGCGAAGUGUGACCUGGGACUCCCUGGGCCCUCUUAAUAGGGUUGUGACCCUUCACUCCUUUGACCUCCUCCAUGAUUAUAAUAACUCGAGACAGCACAGCCAAACAGAUGUGCAUUCACCUUUACCACUAAUAGGCAGGAAGCUCUGCCUCCCUGGGCCUCAGUUUCCACAGAUAUACCAUGGGGUGCCGUAGGGAUUAGAAAGCACGUUUGCCAAGCUCCCAGCAUGAGGUUCAGCUCCCAGCAGGACUGUUCGCUUUUGUCCCAGGACCCUACCACGUCUGUGUGCAAGGCCAGUGCACUUGUCCGUACGGCGUGGGGACCUUUGUCGGGGAUCAGCCUCUGCCUGCAUGUACCACCCACCCAGCCACGCUCCGCUCCCCCCGCCCUCCGUCCAAUCUCAGGAAGUUCCACCUGACCACCCACCCAGUUGCCCAGGGACCAUUAAUUUUUCUAUGGACGAUCAAACCCAGAUAGAGUGGAAGGGCUACCGCACAGCUGAUCCCAAAACAGUAACCAAGGCGCCAGGGACAACAUCUGGGGGUCGACCAGGACAGGCAGUGGACACAACCGUGUUGGCCUUACGUGUACUGGGAAAGUUUUCUCCGGUGUAUGUCCCCGAGGGGCAAAGGGGUAGAAAUCCUCCGCACGGCAAACUGGCACAAUGCAAGAAAAACCGGUCACAUGUAGAACCCUAUCCUAAGGAAGGCUGCAGGGUCAUGUCAAGGCCCCAAGAAACAGAGACCCCACAGUCUCUAGUUCAAGUUCUGACAUGGCUACCUCAUCUUGAACUGAUUCCUCUAUUUACCGGGCCUCAGUUUUUCUACCCGGGAAAUGGGGACUGUGAUUGACACUCUGGAUUGCCACUGUGAGGUUCAAAGACUAGUACGGUGUUUUCCCCAGCGUCAACGCACAUCACCACAGCGAACAGGAUGAUGUGGGUCACACUCCGCUAAACAGCCCGAACCAACAUGGGUCGUGCAAUGAGAAAGCAAUUCUCUGCUCAUUUUUCUUUUCAUCCUUUGCCGACUUGCCAAGGAAAGUCUCAGACAAGCGGUAGGUAGUGUGGGUUCAGUACCAACUUGCUCAACUCCUUUUUAACAGGAGCCUGACAGGCAGGCAAUGCGAGCCAGCGCACAUUUAAUGCGUUUGUUUUAUUUUUGAGGUAUUUUAUCGAUACUGAUUGUUCUCAAAGCAAAAGAAAAAUGUGAGUGGAUUUCAAAUAUUGAGCAAAUAACAGUACAGGAGAUGCUUGAAUUGGGCCCAAAAUCACGUGGUUGGAGUGGCUGGGGCUGGGGAAAUACUGCGGUAGUGUGGAUGGAAAU
rnacentral:lncRNA from 1 species